CCGGCAAUUACUGGAUUCUACCAAUCAUAUUACUUGUCCCGCCCCGAUAGCUUGGAGGAGGUCCUUAGCUUGACGCCUUACCAUUGGCGGUUGGCAACCUCUCUAUCAGUUGAUUGGAGAGAGUGCAUGUCCAUCAAGGUCACGCUUGAGACUAGCAGAGGCGAAACCAGCGGGAAGACGACUUCGCCACCAAGGGCGGGCGGGCCUGCUGGGAUACUCCGGAUUCCUGGAUUCCAGGUAAAUCAGAGGAACAAACCUGAACAGAAAUAUACAGGAAGUGAUGUGAUGCUGAAGCUUAACGCUUAUUUCAGAAGUCUGGUAUCUGGUGCUCUUAACAGCAGAAACUAUAUUAUUUGCAAAAUCACCACGCUUUUACUUGUAUUAUAUAGUAAUUUUUUAAAAAAUAAAUAUUGACAAUUUGUUCUUGAAAGCCUGAAUUGUUUAUUGCCUACCCUAAACUGUCUAAUUCUGCUCUUGUGUCAACUGGAAUAGGGAAGAGUAUUUGCAAGCUUAAGAUCUGAGGAUCCAGGAGUUCCGUGGUGGCUCAGUGGUUAACGAAUCCAACUAGGAACCAUGAGGCCUUGCUCAGUGGGUUGAGGAUCCAGCAUUGCCAUGAGCUGUGGUGUAGGUCGCAGAUGCGGCUCAGAUCUGGUGUUGCUAUGGGCUGUGGUAUAGGCCGGUGGCUACAGCUGACUGAACCACUAGCCUAGGAACCUCCAUAUGCUGUGGCGUAGCCCUAGAAAAGGCAAAAGGACAAAAAAAUCUGAGGAUCCAGAGUUGUAGAGCUAGUCUUGGGCUAGAUCCUUUAAGCUAGUCAUGGGGAGUCAUGCAAGUAUUGUUAGACAUUUUGUUAAAUUGAGAAUACGCCGUCAUUAAAGUUUAAGCAUGAUCAUUGGGCCAGAGAAUCAAAGGCUGUGUUGUCCAAACCGACAGUAGAGUUGCUGUGUACAGUCAAGUAUAGUACGUUUGUCUGGAAUGCAGGGAUGUGGAUGGCAUCUCAGGGCCCUUUCAAGGAGCUAAGUGAGAUGGCUUUGACACCCUGAUCAAGGCCAGGAAAGCAGCUCAGGUAUCUAAACCCCCCAAAUAGAAACAACAGACCUAAAUUUAAGGUUUUAAUAAAACAACCAAAAAUGUCAAAUGUUGAACAUACUCCUUUCUGUCUUUGAUUUAAAAAAAACCACUCAUCAAGUAUUGGCACCAAACAUCAGCGAUUUAAAGAAUCAAGGAAACAGUACAAAAUAUUUCUCUCAAAGCGCCCAACUCAGGUAGAUGAUUUGGCAUGUGAGGUUUGAGUCUUCUCAUUAGAAACUAUAGCAGAAGUGUAGCAAAAGUUGUGACCUCUCUCA
rnacentral:lncRNA from 9 species